AUUAGAUUGGCAGAAUUAUGUAUUAAAUUUAGAAUUUAAUUAAGUGUUUAAAAUCACAUCUAAUA
rnacentral:tRNA from 1 species